UUUUUUACGAAGUCCGUGAAUUAAUUGUUGGUGGAUUAAUUGUUGUUGGACUAGAUACUGUGAAAUAAUGACUGUGCGAAUUUAAUUAAUUCAUGUCCGUGAGGAAUAUUUAUUGGACUCAAUUCCGGGUUGGAUCCGAUAAAUUAAAUAAAUAUUAUAAAAUCUAGUUCGUGAUAAAUAAAUUGUGGACUGUAUAAUUUAAAGAAAAUACAAAAAAAUACCGUGAAUUAAAUCAAAACAAAUUCUCUUCCUAUUGACUUGGUCACCAAGUCAAAUUUAAUUUGAGAUUUUAUAAAGAUUAACCUCCUCCGUGAAAAGAUAUCCAUCCUCCGUAAUCUACAAAUAAAAUACCAAAUAAAUACAAUUAAAUCAAAAAUAAAAAAAAUAUAGAAACCAAGAAAACCUCCCUCCUCAAUACACGAAAAAAACGUUCCCCUCAACCCCAAAAUCUCUCCAUAUCUUUAAACCACCCCUCCAUGUAUUUUAAAUCCCCUAACUCAGUUAUUUCCUACUCUGCUCGUUCGCUGCAACAAAGAAAACCAAGCUAUUCUUCUCAAUCAAAUUCAAGAAACCGAGAACUAAAGCAAGGGGGGUCCCGGCUUCGUUCAGUUACAAUCUGCAAAUUGAAGGUUGAGCGGCGACGAGGAUGUGGUGGUGUUGAGCAAGUGAAUUUAAGAUUAUAAUUGUCUUUGAACCUUGAGUGUCGUUGUGUCUUCACACAUGACGUCACUCUUUCUCUUGGUCGUUUCCGCUGUGACGUUUCGUUUAAUUAUGUUUUAUUUGGGGCCGACAACUAUAAUUGUUAGGAUAAUGGAUAUUUUGAAUUUCUUGUUGGAUAAUGUCAAACUCUUGGUUAUUUAUUGGGAUAUUAAUUGUGGUCCAACUUGUGUUGAAACCCUAAUUCUUUUCGUCCGUUUCAUUAAAUUCUUUUCAUCACGAUCGCCCGUAUUUAAUAACCCUAAAGGGCGGUCGUGACAGUUUGGUAUCAGAGCCUCAGUUUCUUUCCGCUCUGGACCCAAGAGUCUUUUGGAGUCAAAAUCUAUCCUUGUAUUAAUUGGCUAAAGUGUUAAACCUCGAAGGCUCAACACCACAACUCGUCACGCCCAACCACGAAAGAAGCGGUAAGAACA